rnacentral:tRNA from 1 species
GUCCCUAUAGUUCAAUUGGAUAGAACAAGGCACUCCUAAGGCUUAGAUCCAGGUUCGAUUCCUGGUAGGGAUA